UGGAAACAGCUGAUCUCAAAGUCAAAUAUUUUAUGAUUUUAUUUACAUAGUUAUGAACAGCCUACAGAUAGCAGCAUGGCAGAAAUGGAGAAAUUCAGCAGUUGCCAUUGGUUAAGAUUGGUAGGUGGAGGUAUGAAUUAAAGACCCAGAGGAAAGAGAGCUUCUAGAGGAAGAAAUGGCUGUGAUUCUUUGUUUCAGUACUAACAAGUCUCUCAGGGUUAGAAUAGCAAACACUGAUUGUAUCAAUGUCAACUUCCUGGAUUCCAUUUGGACACAGUAAUGUAAGAUUAUAACCACCGAGGGGAAACCCAGUACUAGGACCUGGCCUACUAUCUUUGCAACUUCCUGCGUAUAGCUAAUGCUUUUUAAAACAAAAAGCCUUUUGAAAAAGCAAUUUAUGCUGUGUAGAAAAUUAUAGAAGAUGGGGAAAAAUAUAAAAUUGCUAUUUUUAACAUUUGGAACCUUUGGUGUUUGUUUUAGGAUAUUGGAAGUUAUUGCUUAAUUUCUGGUUUUGCUCCUCUCCCCAAGACAUACUUGACAUAACAUAAACUGUUGCUUUAAAUUUUUUUCUAUUAUGAUUUUGUGCAUGCUUGUGCAGAAGUCAGUUAACUGUGGGGUAGAUCUUUUUUUCCCCUUGAGAAAUGAGCUGUACCUUGAGUGUCUCUCUUCUCUAUGUUUAUACAGAAUAUUAUAGCACCAGGAGCUCAUCUGUUUCUAACAACCAUGAUUUUCUCUCCCUACUGGCACAGGUAGACCAUGCUGACUGCCUGCACCCUCAACCUGGGGAGCCUUUAUGGUGUGCCAAGAUUGGAGCCAUCACAUUUGCAUCCUUAAAUCCCACAGACAUUCCAUCAAGAGACAUACUUAGCCUUCUCACAAGUGAAAACAGAUUCAGGAGAGCAGGCUCUCAGAGUUUCAGUAUCCAUUCUGAGAUUGUAUCUCUGUCAUGUAACAGUUUCCUCAAGAUUGAAACAUUCCAUCCUUCAGGGAAGCUCAGAAGGUAAAGAACUCAAAAAAGCUUCAGGAAGUCCCUGAAACUGACCAGAUUCACUAGGCUCCUCCCUACCAGAUUAAACAAUAAAAUGGAGAGUAGAGGAGGCUGAGACCAGACAAGCUAGCUGCCUGGAAGAAGCAGAAACCCCCUGAGCUAUUUGGAGAGGCUUAGACCAGAGUGUCUUGGUCUAAAAGAAAGCACAUUCUUCACUCUGUUGAGCUGCCUGCAGGCUGUGCAGUGUGUUCUAGGUCCCAGCUUUGUGAGCUGUCACCCAUGCUGGGGUGGGCUUUGUUGAUGCAACUGUCUGUGAGUCAUUUCUGCUCCUAAUCCACACUCCUGUAGGUAAGCCCAAUAAAACUCAUUGGUUGACCAAGUUAGACUUUGAUGGUAUCUGUACUUUGGUCUGUCAUAGGCUCCCUAUCUGGGGUGAGUAGACUUGUUUUUCAUCUUCCCAGGAAAACUUUUGCAACAUAACAAUCACCCUGACUGGCAGGGACAGGAUUUACCAGUGAAGUACUCCAAGCAUAGACCAGCCAGCCUUCCUAUGAUUGCAUCUAGGCUCCCUUUUGAUUAUCUGUUUAACUUUGGUUUUAGUUUCCUCAUCUUUAAAAUGGGCAUAGAAUAAAUAAAAGCAGCCUCUUAAAGUUGCUUUUAAAGACCAUGAAAGAUGAUUUCUGUAAAUCUGAGAACUAUUCUACUUGAGGUAU
rnacentral:lncRNA from 1 species